CACCACCCCUCUACUGGUGUUCCUGGAUCCUCCGGCCCUCUACUGGUGUUCCUGGAUCCUCCGGCCCCGGGACGCGCCUCGUCGGGAGUGGCCAAACCCUCAGACAGUCUGGGAGCCUCCACGGAGCUUGAACCCGGUCCUGCAGAUGCCACUGGAGGAGCGGGUUCCAACGCCCGGGCCGAAGCCGGCACAGAGGAGUGGAAGCCGGGUGUCAGCGCGGUGGCUGUCGCGCCGGUCCGGCCCAGGGAACCAGCCGCCCUCUCCCCCCGGGGCCAUGCCCCGCCCCGGGGGGAGAGGGGUCCGGGGGG
ensembl:lncRNA